GCUCGACCAUCUCUGCUCUGCCUCUCGAGUCCGAGUCCCCGCAGCCGUCUCUCAAGCUGAGCCCCUCUCUCAUGCCGUCAACAGCCCCUCGCCGUCGAAACUGUUGGUCCGUUCUGUUCUCCUCCGCUUCCAGUUGUUCCCGAGGCUACAGAAUCACAGAUAUUGUUUUCCCCUCUCUCGGCGAGCUAAUCGGUCAGGAAUAAAAUGGGUCUACUUUCUCAGAGAAACCUCCUUGCAUUUGCACUCCAAAAUCGAAAUGCUGUCGCAGAAGCACAACCAUCAAGACUUCUUUUUGUUUAUGCCAAAUCCUUCAGCUUUUGCACCUCGCAGACUUCAAAACAGAAUGAAGAGCUCACAAUCGAAGAAAUCUCCGCCUUUCUCAAGCAAAGCAACUGGCAGUACCUCAUGGAAUCGUCAAAUAUACCCAAGAAGCUGAACCCAGAAGUGGUUCGGUCUGUUCUUCAACAUAAUUGGGUGAGUGACCCCAAACGCCUCCUUCAUUUUUUUGAUUGGUCCACUUCUUUGAUGGGCGUUCCUCAAAAUCAGCAUUCUUUCUCGAUUCUUGCAAUUGCUCUAUGUAAUUCGAGGCUUUUCGCCCAUGCCAAUGGCGUCUUAGAGCGAAUGGUGGGAACCCGGAAGCCGCCGUUGGAAAUUCUUGAUUCCAUUGUUACUUUCUUUGUAGAAUGCGGUGGGUCUAAUGUGGUGGUUUUUGAGAUUUUGGUGAAUGCUUAUAGGAAAGUGGGGAUGUUGAAUGAGGCUGCUAGCGUGUUUUUGGGAAUUAAAAAUGAUGGGUUUUUGCCUACUCUAGUGUUUUGUAAUUCUCUGUUGAAGGACUUGGCAAAGUGUAAUAGGAUGGAGUUGUUUUGGAAGGUUUAUGAUCGGAUGUUAGAGGCUAAGAUGAGUCCGGAUGUUUAUACUUAUUCUACUGUGAUAAAUGCGCAUUGUAAGGUUGGGAAUGUUGAAGAGGGUAGAAGGGUGCUAUUUGGUAUGGAGGAGAAGGGCUGUAGUCCUAAUUUGGUUACCUACAAUGUGGUGAUUGGAGGAUUGUGCAAACAUGGGGCUGUUGAUGAGGCUCUUGAGCUGAAGAAGUUCAUGGCUGGGAAGGGGUUGGUCCCAGAUGCCUAUACUUACUCUAUACUUGUCGAUGGGUUUUGCAAACAGAAAAGGUCAGAAGAAGCAAAGUCGAUAUUGGAAGAGAUGUUUGGUAUGGGUUUAUGUCCUGAUCACAUUACCUACACUGCUUUGGUUGAUGGGUUCAUGAAACAAGGUAAGGUAGAAGAUGCCUUGAGAAUCAAAGAUGAGAUGGUUGCCCGUGGAGUAAGCUUAACUUUGGUAACAUAUAAUGUACUUGUCGGUGGGUUCUGUAAGGUUGGUGAGAUGACGAAGGCCAAAGCUCUCAUCAAUGAGAUGAGUGUGAUGGGAAUAAAACCAGAUAGUUAUACUUAUAACUCUUUAAUUAGUGGGUAUUACAAAAAGAAAAAUAUGGUCGAGGCUUAUCAACUUCUUCUUGAGAUGAAGAAGUGGAACUUGGCACCCACAGUAUUCACUUAUGGUGUGAUAAUAAAUGGCCUAUGCCAUUGUGGAGAUCUGCAAGGGGCUAAUGGUGUUUUGGAGCAGAUGAUUGCAGGGGGUUUGAAACUAAAUGCUGUUCUAUUCUCAACUCUAAUCAAAGGUCAUGUACAACAAAGUAGAUUUGACGAGGCAAUAACGAUAUUAAAAGGAAUGAAGGAAAAGGGCGUUCUGCCGGACAUGUUUUGUUAUAAUUCUCUUAUAAUUGGCCUCUGCAAGGCCAAAAAGAUGAAAGAUGCUAAGAAUUUCUUGGUUGAAAUGAUUGAGAGGGGUCUUAAACCUAAUGAAUAUACAUAUGGGACUUUCAUCGAUGGAUAUGCUAAGGCGGGUAAUAUGCAAUUAGCAUAUGGUUAUUUCAUAGAAAUGCUAGGUUGGGGUAUAGCGCCCAAUGGUUUGAUCUGCACGGCCCUGAUUGAUGGGCACUUUAAAGAUGGUAACGUAACUGGAGCUCUUUCUGCGUUUCAAUUAUUACUUGGACAAGGGGUCAUCCCAGAUAUCCAGACUUAUAGUGUCCUCAUCCACGGUCUUUCUACGAAUGGAAAAAUUGAGGAAGCAAUGGAGGUUUUAUCUGAAGUCCUUGACAAGGGUCUGGUGCCAGAUGUUUUUACCUACACCUCUCUCAUUUCUGGAUCCUGUAAGCAAGGUGAUUUAGACAGAGCUUUUCAACUCUAUGAUGAGAUGUGCCAGAAAGGCAUCACUCCAAACAUUGUUACUUAUAACUCCUUGAUCAAUGGACUUUGCAAGUCGGGUGACAUUGAGAGAGCUAGGGAACUGUUUGAUGGAAUCUCAAGAAAGGGUUUGGCUAAGAAUGGUGUGACCUAUGCUACGAUUAUAGAUGGAUACUGCAAAUCUGGAAAUUUAGCUGAGGCAUUUCAAUUAAUGGAUGAGAUGCCAUCUAGGGGGGUUCCACCUGAUUGUUUCAUCUAUUGUGCCCUUGUUGAUGGGUGCUGCAAAGCAGGAAACAUGGAGAAGGCCCUUUCCUUAUUUCAUGAGAUGGUGCAGAAGGGCUUUGCUUCCACAUCUUCUUUCAAUGCUUUGAUUGAUGGCUUCUCCAAGUCCGGGAAAUUGGACGAAGCUAACCAAUUGUUUGAAGACAUUGUUGAUAAGCAUGUGACCCCCGAUGAUGUGACCUACUCAAUUUUGAUCAAUUCGCACUGCAAGGCAGGAUUAAUGAAGGAAGCUGAGAAGCUCUUUCUGGAGAUCAAAAAAAGAAAUCUCAAGCCAAAUAUUUUAACUUACACUGCACUCCUGCAUGGGUACAACAACAUAGGGAGCAGAGAUAAGAUGUGUGCUCUUUUCGAUGAAAUGGUGGCAGCGGGGAUUGACCCUGAUGAAGAAACAUAUGGCAUGCUCGAGAGAAUUCCGUUGAUAUCUGAGGCUGCAAAUACAGAGAGGCCAUCUUCAAUCACAACUAGCCUGUUCAUUGGUGGGGCGCUGGCUGCAAGAUCUGAUAUCUGACAAUGAAGAUACAAAUAUUAGCAGUAUCUUUGAAGAAGCUUCUGAUUCUAUUGAUCAUGUUGAACAAAUAGGUAGAAGUGCCACCUUGGUUUUGGGUACUUAAUGCUCAGGAAGAACCUAACUCUACUAAAAGCAUGGAAUACCCUCAAACGAGUUCACCACUUAGCCCAGCUCAAUGAUGGCUUUGCUAGGAUCCUUUUGGAUCUGGAUAGGAAAUUACAUGGGACGCAGCAUCCAUGGAAUGGCGACAACGAAAGCCGAUGAUGAAGGUUUGCCCCAUUUGUUGGAAGAAGGCCUGUCUGAGCAGCAGUUUACUUGAGCUUCAUUCGCAAAAAUCACACAAGGAUCUUUAAUCAGGAAGUGUGGACAGUGGCAUGACCAUGGAAAUACAAAAGUCUUUGACAGCACUCAAACGGGGUCUGGUAGGUUUAGUUUUUUGUUCUGUAUUGGUGGUUUGUAAAUAAUAUAGUAUAGCCUCUUAUCUAUAUCUCCUGAAAUUUAAGGGGGUAUUUUAAUCUAAUCAUUUUUGGUAAGAAACACAAUAAUCAAAGUACCCCUUAUUUUGCCCUAAAUAGAUACUCUUUAUUUCAAGUUGAAUGUAAAACGUCCACAUUCAAGAGUGGUGGCUUAAUGGUCCUUGUCCCUUGGUUACUCCCAAGAGGUUUGGCAUGUACUAGGUCUUUUUUUUAAAUUCGAAUAUAGAUUCACCUAAAAUGAUUAGUAUUAGCCGUCUAAAGAUAUAUUAAAUUAUCUAGUUGAGAUGGAGUCUAAGCUUUGGCUCAAAAUUGAAUUGAGAGACUGCUUGUGACUACUUUUUCAAACUUGUUUGUUUUUCCAGAUUUGUG